rnacentral:rRNA from 1 species
GACGAACGCUGGCGGCAGGCCUAACACAUGCAAGUCGAGCGAGCGGCGGACGGGUGAGUAAUGUCUGGGAAACUGCCUGAUGGAGGGGGAUAACUCCUGGAAACGGUAGCUAAUACCGCAUACCAUCAGAUGUGCCCAGAUGGGAUUGGCUAGUAGGUGGGGUAACGGCUCACGUAGGCGACGAUCCCUAGCUGGUCUGAGAGGAUGACCAGCAACACUGGAACUGAGACACGGUCCAGACGCCUACGGGAGGCAGCAGUGGGGAAUAUUGCACAAUGGGCGCAAGCCUGAGGCAGCCAUGCCGCGUGUGUGAAGAAGGCCUUCGGGUUGUAAAGCACUUUCAGCGGGGAGGCGUUACCCGCAGAAGAAGCACCGGCUAACUCCGUGCCAGCAGCCGCGGUAAUUC